GGUGUAGGCUGUAUUACAUGGAUUUAUUGUGAAGGUGUAGGCUGUAUUACAUGGAUUUAUUGUGAAGGUGUAGGCUAUAUUACAUAGAUUUAUUGUGAAGGUGUAGGCUGUAUUACAUGGAUUUAUUGUGAAGGUGUAGGCUGUAUUACAUGGAUUUAUUGUGAAGGUGUAGGCUGUAUUACAUGGAUUUAUUGUGAAGGUGUAGGCUGUAUUACAUGGAUUUAUUGUGAAGGUGUAGGCUGUAUUACAUGGAUUUAUUGUGAAGGUGUAGGCUGUAUUACAUGGAUUUAUUGUGAAGGUGUAGGCUAUAUUACAUGGAUUUAUUACAGUUUUUAAAAUGUAGAUGUUCCAAAAGUCUGCAUCAGUGGCUUGUAGACUAUGUGUGGAAGCCAGGAGAUGCUAAAUGUGUUUAUGUUAAUUACCGUGAGUUAUUUGCUUGACAAUCACCGGCUGAUGAAAUUUUGCGACCACCACAACCAUAGUCUCUCCAGAUUUGUUUGAUCGGGUUCAAGUCCUUGCUCUGGCCGGGCCACUCAAGGACAUUCAGAAACUUGUCCCGAAGCCACACUUGCGUUGUCUUGGCUGUCUUUAUACUGUUGGAAGUUGAACCUUCCUAUAGGCUGGAGAUCAGUAAACCAUAGUGAUCUUUGUCA